rnacentral:rRNA from 1 species
GAUGAACGCUGGCGGCGUGCCUAAUACAUGCAAGUCGAGCGAACGGACGAGAAGCUUGCUUCUCUGAUGUUAGCGGCGGACGGGUGAGUAACACGUGGAUAACCUACCUAUAAGACUGGGAUAACUUCGGGAAACCGGAGCUAAUACCGGAUAAUAUUUUGAACCGCAUGGUUCAAAAGUGAAAGACGGUCUUGCUGUCACUUAUAGAUGGAUCCGCGCUGCAUUAGCUAGUUGGUAUGGUAACGGCUUACCAAGGCAACGAUGCAUAGCCGACCUGAGAGGGUGAUCGGCCACACUGGAACUGAGACACGGUCCAGACUCCUACGGGAGGCAGCAGUAGGGAAUCUUCCGCAAUGGGCGAAAGCCUGACGGAGCAACGCCGCGUGAGUGAUGAAGGUCUUCGGAUCGUAAAACUCUGUUAUUAGGGAAGAACAUAUGUGUAAGUAACUGUGCACAUCUUGACGGUACCUAAUCAGAAAGCCACGGCUAACUACGU